AUAAAAAAAGCCCCUAGAUAUAUCAUCUAGGGUAAAUUGACAAAUGAUUUCCAUUUGUCUAAUGGGAGAGGAGAAACCGGAGGAAGAACUUAUGGGGAAAAGUCUUCUCCGCGG
rfam:Firmicutes bacterium MLFW-2 MLFW-2_Contig_1_85X, whole genome shotgun sequence.